GCCCCCGCGGGAUGAUGAAUUGAUCUCCUACAUCCUCAAUGGGUUGGACAUGGAGUAUCAACCUCUAGUCUCCGCCUUCGAUGCUCGGGU
rnacentral:snoRNA from 1 species